UUUGCUUAGGCCCAUUUUUGGCUGGCCAAACCAUGGUACGAUCUAUGACUACGGUCGUACCAGCCAUAGUGGCCUUAACAAAUAUCUACAGUUAUGACAUUACUUAGCUACGAGUGACCCCUACAAAGAGUGCGAUACCGCCUUUGUCAAAGGGUAUGCUGUCAUCCAUUGGGAGCGGUCCUCUUACAUCUUUGCAGACCAGAUAGGGAAGAGGUAAACAGAUACUCAGAAAGGUAAGGGGAACAGAUACCUUUUAGAGAUAAAAAGCCUAACGAUACACUUAAUGUAGUAUGCAUGUCAAUACAGAUACACU
rnacentral:lncRNA from 1 species